GAUAUGGAUGAUUUUAAAAAGCAUUUGUUUGACUUAAAUAUGAUCCGCGGAUGAAUUACCUAAAACAUCGGGGGGGUUUCGAGAAAUGUAAAAUAAAGGUUCGGAUGUGACUUAAAUCCGGACGGCGGGUUGAUUUCAAAAAAAGACAGAGACUUUUAUGUAAAAUACGAAAAUAACGAUUCGUUUUAACUUAAACCAGGACUGCGGGUUGAAUUCUCUGAAAUAGAGGGACUUUUCUGAAAAAUGCCAUGACGGACGAAAGAAACCCAAUUUGCUUUGUUAUUAGAUAAAGAUAAAGACUAUAUUAAGACACAUGCAUCACUGUUAAACAUUCCAACUGAAACCACAGCCAGAUAGGUCAGCUUAAUUACUCUACUACUUCUUUCUAGAUGACAUCAGUUAAACAGGAGGAGGCAGACACAAUCAGUGAUAUUAGCGGUGGCCAAAUUACCCAUGAAGCACAACAAGCCAUUCAAGUAUCUUCAUCGCCCAUGCAAAGCAAGCUCAACCCAAAAGUUCAAAGGCAAGAAAAUCCAUCUAAAGCCUGAAAAAACAUUCCCCGUGGUGAGCUUGGCAUCCAUCACUUAGAUGAGUUCAGUCGCCACAUUGUGUGGGGUAACACAGUUAAGCUCUAUAACCAUAAUGUUCUUAGACUGCGAAAGAUCAUUCGCAACACCAUCACGCCUGAUCGCUACAUGACAAAAACAUUUGCAGCACAUGGCAAAAGAAUGUACUUUGUGGUUCCCUUUUCCCGCACAUGGAUGCUGUCACAGCUCGCUUUAUCAAGGGUGUUGACAAAAGGGCAACCAUCACUAGAGGAUGAGUGACUUCUUCGGUCAGGCUCACAUGAACAAAGGGCAAGCAUAUAUAUGCUCGCCUUCAAAUGCACUUCCAAGCGACCACGCCUCAUCGUCUACCCAAUAUAAGCAAGUUGCAAGAGCCUCUUGCUAUAUAACUUAGCAUUAAUAUAGAUGCCUACCAAGACUUCUAUGUUUAUCAUCCUUUUGGAUCUUAUGCUUAGACUGCCGUGUGGUAUGCUUUUCAAACAGCCAUGAUGAAAGAAACAUAUGUUUUCUCCUUGAAGUGCACGUCCAAAGGCCUCUGCAAAUCACAAGAAUCCUUUGCUACCUGACUUAGUAUUACUACCAGUACCUGCCGAUACUUUUAUAUUUGGCAUCAUUUUGGAUCUCAUGUAAAACAUGUAUCAUCAGUAGUCAUCUAUCUAUA